AGUCAUCGUCGCGGUGUCAACAAAACUGGUAUAUUAAGCAGAAGGAAUUAUAACGGAAAUAUAUAUAUUAUAAAACAACAACACCUGCUACAGUGAUUCUUAACAACUUGUUUAUAAAAAAUUGUGCCGUCUGUAAAGACACCAAACGCUUUAAUUGAAAAAUAUGUCGCUUGUUCGUCACUUUACCCAUUUACGUAUGCCCUCCGAAGCAACGGAUGAUAAGCGAACGAUUGGAAAAUGAGUGAAAGGCGAAGAACUUCAUUUAAUUAUGUACCGACCAAAAGUUGCUAUAAAGCGGGUCGACAGCACAAGGACAACAGCUGUUAUCGUGUUACUUGCGAUGGCCAUUUUGGUCGUUAACGGUACAACCAGUAGAGGUCCCUCAUGUACUCGCCAACAACUCACUUUAUUUCCCGCCUUUUGAGGCCGUAGAUUUUCAUCAAGAUGUCCAUUAAGUUAUUUAUCGUCGUAUUUGUAAUUUUUAAUAAAGACAAUAAUUGCACAAAAAUUUUCUUAUUAUGUUAUUGAGUGACAUAAAAGCGUUCACUUUGUAUUUUCCUUUAAACGUACGAAUGAAAUGUGUAGAAAUGAAAUGAAUCAAG